GCAUGUCUUGUUUAAAUAAUAAUUGUCUAAAAUAUUAUGUCAAAAUAGCUUACAGAUUCUGAUGAUGUAGACUUCUAUUAUUGAAUAUUUUAUUAUUAAUUUGUUAUACGGUUACUUAUGUACUCAAGUAUAGGAAAGACGGUUGUAAAGCAAUACCAUUAAUCUAAAUAAUACAUUUUAUUUUGGUUUUUUAUUUAAAAUAUAUUGUGUUUAUGCUCAGUUGAAUAAAAUACAUAUUUUACAGGGUCUACAGUUUUUAAAGUUCUGUUUAGAUAUUAUGUGUUUCAUUGUUUAUUAUAAGUGAGAAAUUAUUUUAAUUGUUUAAAUUUUUAUUAAGGUCCAGAAUUGCUACAUACUGUCCAAAACAGUCAAUAUAGCUUUAUACAAACUGUUGGAGUACAGAAUGUCAGAACUGGUAAAAGACAAUUUAAGAUUCAUGUACUACAAGAAGAAAACAAUGGCCAUUAAAGUCUAUUCAGAAUGUUUUGAACAAGAUGUUAAGACCAAUGACAUGCUAUGACAAAUAUAUCACCAAGCAAAAUUAAGAUAGGUUUUUCUCAUCAAAUCCUGUUGUAUCUUACAAUAUUAAUAUUAAAUUGCAUUAUUUUGACAAAAUAGUAUAAUUGAAAAAACAUUGGACAGAAUAGUACAUUAAUUUACCUCUCAUUGUGAGAUGAACAUGUGAACAAUAAUAUAACUAGAAGAUUCCCAUCACUGAAAAUGUCUGCAAAGUACUAACAAUUAAAGUGUUUAAGACUAUUGGUAGAUACAAUAAAAGACAACAGACCUUACAAAAUCUAUCAUACAGAUUUAAUCAGUUUUCUAGUAGAAAAUGGAAUCAUCAUGGAGGACAACUAUUCAAAACAAUUUAAACACAGCUUGAGAUAUAUUUAAAAUGAUUUAAUGAAAAUUUUCAUGCAUUGGUCAAUAUACCUAAUCAUAGAAUGAGUCGGAAUAAGGAAACAAGGAAAAUACCUAAUUAUUUCUGUGUAUUCUAUCAGUCACCAUAUAUCAUUUAGAGAAUCUAAAAGGAAAAUUAAUAUUCAGUUUGUAUUUUUCAUUAUAAGGAAAUAUGAAGAAAAUUAAAUUGAACUU